rnacentral:rRNA from 1 species
GUGAUAAACUGGAGGAAGGUGGGGAUGACGUCAAGUCAUCAUGGCCCUUACGACCAGGGCUACACACGUGCUACAAUGGCGCAUACAAAGAGAAGCGACCUCGCGAGAGCAAGCGGACCUCAUAAAGUGCGUCGUAGUCCGGAUUGGAGUCUGCAACUCGACUCCAUGAAGUCGGAAUCGCUAGUAAUCGUGGAUCAGAAUGCCACGGUGAAUACGUUCCCGGGCCUUGUACACACCGCCCGUCACACCAUGGGAGUGGGUUGCAAAAGAAGUAGGUAGCUUAACCUUCGGGAGGGCGCUUACCACUUUGUGAUUCAUGACUGGGGUGAAGUCGUAACAAGGUAACCGUAGGGGAACCUGCGGUUGGAUCACCUCCUUA